rnacentral:lncRNA from 1 species
UUGUCAAUAUCAUUUACCUCCAGUUUCUCUGAGACACCAAUUUUACUCUUCUUCCUGGACAGACUUUCUUUUUUAUCUUUCUCCCUCGACCUUUUCAAAGCAGAUCCACCAUUGUCAUUUGCAUGACCUGAGCGCUUUCUGGCAGUACGCUUGGGGAGAGUACGGCGUACAGUUCCUCCUGCACGGUGAUUUCCAUUCGGGACACCAGCAGUUUUAGACAUU